GACAGAGGGUGCAAACGUUGCUCGGAAUCACUGGGCGUAAAGGGCUCGUAGGCGGUUUGUCGCGUCGGGAGUGAAAUCCUACGGCUUAACUGUGGGCUUGCUUUCGAUACGGGCAGACUAGAGGUAUGCAGGGGAGAACGGAAUUCCUGGUGUAGCGGUGAAAUGCGCAGAUAUCAGGAGGAACACCGGUGGCGAAGGCGGUUCUCUGGGCAUGAUCUGACGCUGAGGAGCGAAAGUGUGGGGAGCGAACAGG
rnacentral:rRNA from 1 species